AGCGGCGAACGGGUGAGUAACACGUGGAUAAUCUGCCCUUCAGUGGGGGAUAACGGCUGGAAACGGCCGCUAAUACCGCAUUCGGUUGUCGGGUCUUUGGGCCUGGCAAAGAAAGGAGCUUCAAAGCUUCGCUGGAGGAUGAGUCCGCGCCCCAUUAGCUAGUUGGCGGGAUAAUAGCCCACCAAGGCAACGAUGGGUAGCCGAGCUGAGAGGUUGAUCGGCCACACUGGGACUGAGACACGGCCCAGACACCUACGGGUGGCAGCAGUAGGGAAUCUUGGACAAUGGGCGAAAGCCUGAUCCAGCCAUGCCGCGUGGAUGAUGAAGGCCUUCGGGUCGUAAAGUCCUUUUCUAGGAGAAGGACAGCAGGGGGAGGAAAUGCUCCCUGUCUGACGGUACCCUAGGAAUAAGCAACGGCUAACUCCGUGCCAGCAGCCGCGGUAAUACGGAGGUUGCAAGCGUUGUUCGGAAUAACUGGGCGUAAAGGGAGCGCAGGCGGUUCGGUAAGUCUGAAGUGAAAUCCCAGAGCUCAACUCUGGACCUGCUUCGGAUACUGCCGAGCUUGAGUACGUGAGAGGAGAGUGGAAUUCCAGGUGUAGCGGUGAAAUGCGUAGAUAUCUGGAGGAACACCAGUGGCGAAAGCGGCUCUCUGGCACGUUACUGACGCUGAGGCUCGAAAGCGUGGGGAGCAAACGGGAUUAGAUACCCCGGUAGUCCACGCCGUAAACGUUGUGCGCUAGGUGUAGGAGGUAUCGACCCCUUCUGUGCCGCAGCUAACGCAUUAAGCGCACCGCCUGGGGAGUACGCCCGCAGGUGAAACUCAAGGAAUUGACGGGGGCCCGCACAAGCGGUGGAGCAUGUGGUUUAAUUCGAGGCAACGCGAAGAACCUUACCCAGGCUUGACAUCCCA
rnacentral:rRNA from 1 species